rnacentral:rRNA from 1 species
UGCCAGCCGCCGCGGUAAUACUGAAGGUGCAAGCGUUAAUCGGAAUCACUGGGCGUAAGGCGCUCGUAGGUGGCUUUGUAAGUCAGAUGUGAAAGCCCACGGCUCAACCGUGGAAUUGCAUUUGAAACCGCAAGACUUGAGUAUGGGAGAGGGUAGUGGAAUUCCUGGUGUAGAGGUGAAAUCCGUAGAGAUCAGAAGGAACACCGGUGGCGAAGGCGACUUCCUGGACUAUUACUGACACUGAGGAGCGAAAGCGUGGGGAGCAAACAGGAUUAGAUA